GACAGAGGGUGCAAACGUUGUUCGGAAUUACUGGGCGUAAAGCGAGUGUAGGCGGUCUCCUAAGUCGGGGGUGAAAGCCUGUGGCUCAACCACAGAAUUGCCUUCGAUACUGCAUGGCUUGAGACCGGAAGAGGUAAGUGGAACUGCGAGUGUAGAGGUGAAAUUCGUAGAUAUUCGCAAGAACACCAGUGGCGAAGGCGGCUUACUGGUCCGGUUCUGACGCUGAGGCGCGAAAGCGUGGGGAGCAAACAGG
rnacentral:rRNA from 1 species